CACGUAGGGCGCGAGCGUUGUCCGGAAUUAUUGGGCGUAAAGAGCUCGUAGGCGGCCUGUUGCGUCCGCUGUGAAAGCCCGGGGCUUAACCCCGGGUCUGCAGUGGAUACGGGCAGGCUAGAGGUAGGUAGGGGAGAAUGGAAUUCCCGGUGUAGCGGUGAAAUGCGCAGAUAUCAGGAAGAACACCCGUGGCGAAGGCGGCUCUCUGGAACGCAACUGACGCUGAGACGCGAAAGCGUGGGGAGCAAACAGG
rnacentral:rRNA from 1 species